UUAAAAAGCUCGUAGUUGGAUUCUGCUGAGGACGACCGGUCCGCCCUCUGGGUGAGUAUCUGGCUCGGCCUGGCAUCUUCUUGGAGAACGUAACUGCACUUGACUGUGUGGUGCGGUAUUCAGGACUUUUACUUUGAGGAAAUUAGAGUGCCUCAAGCAGGCGAUUGCCUUGAAUACAUUAGCAUGGAAUAAUGAGAUAGGACCUUGGUUCUAUUUUGUUGGUUUCUAAAGCUGAGGUAAUGAUUAAUAGGGAUAGUUGGGGGCAUUCGUAUUUAACUGUCAGAGGUGAAAUUCUUGGAUUUAUGGAAGACGAACUACUGCGAAAGCAUUUACCAAGGAUGUUUUCAUUAAUCAAGAACGAAAGUUAGGGGAUCGAAGAUGAUUAGAUACCAUCGUAGUCCUAACCAUAAACUAUGCCGACUAGGGAUUGGCAGUUUGUCCUAUGACAUUGUCAGCACCUUAUGAGAAAUCAAAGUCUUUGGGUUCCGGGGGGAGUAUGGUCGCAAGUCUGAAACUUAAAGAAAUUGACGGAAGGGCACCACCAGGAGUGGAGCCUGCGGCUUAAUUUGACUCAAC
rnacentral:rRNA from 1 species